rnacentral:rRNA from 1 species
AUGCCUCACACAAGCAAGGCCAAGAAAGCAUUAAAGUCCUGCGGCGAGGACCGGAUCAGCGACCUGCCGGACGACAUCCUGCACCAUGUCCUCGGUUUCCUGCAGGCAGAUGAGGCAGUGCGCACCUGCCUGCUCGCCCGGCGCUGGCGCUACCUUUGGAAAUUCAUGCGUCGUCUUCGCAUCAACGACGCGGGGAGGAGGGGGAAGAGCACCACCGACGUUUUCCUUAACAAGUUCAUGAGCUACCUGCUGCUCCUCCGAGAGCCUGGCUCUACUCUAGAUGAGGUUGAGAUCGAGUAUGAUAAUUUGAUUGACGAUCGCCAUUUCAAUUACGAUUGUCCUUGGGUCGACAUUUGGAUCCGACAUGCUUUGUCAUGCCAAGCUCAGGUGCUCACUGUCAAGCUCCAUAAGGAGGCGCACUUCUAUGUGUGUUUGGAUGCUCCUCUGGUCUCCCAGCAUUUGAGAAGAUUGGAGAUUUAUGAAGUGAAGUUGGAAAGCAACUUCCUGAAUUUUUCAAGCUGUUCAGCAUUGGAGGAGCUGAAGAUAAAAAACUGCAACUUAAAAACUAAUAGAAUAUUGUCCCAGUCUUUAAAGCAUCUGAGCAUCACUGGAUCUGCUUUCUUAUCAAAAGGCCGGAUUUGUAUUUCUGUCCCAAAUCUCCUUUCGCUGCAACUCAUAAACUAUCGAACUGCAACCCCAUUGCUUGAAAGCAUGCCGUCACUAGAAACUGCAGUUAUCAGGUCUGACUACAACAUCAGCGAUUACUGUCACAACGGCGUUGCUGGGGAAUGUUGUGGUAUUUGUGCAGAUUGCAGUGGUAAUGAUGACCACAAUGGUGGAUGCGUACUUCUUCGAGGUCUAUCUCAUUCUAGAAACUUGGCGUUGAUACAAGCUAAUCCGCGAACGUUUACUUUUAAAAGGGAUUUAAGAUGGUGCCCUACAUUUAGUAAGUUAAAGAAUUUGUUGCUGAAUGACUGGUGUGUGCAACCUGACCUCCGUGGACUAGUUUCUAUGCUUGAACAUUCACCGAUUCUUGAGAAUUUGACGCUUCAACUGUGCAAGCAAAAAAAGACUAUAAGUGCAUUAGAAGUGGAAGAAAAUCCUGGUUUGAUGGAGAAACCCGCUGCUAUUUCAGGAUACCUGGAGAUUAUCAGAGUCAAAUGUGAAGAGGAUUCAGUUUCAAGAGGCGGCGGGGAACUUUGGGCCGACGAUGGAUGUACCGUCCCGUGA